rfam:Triticum urartu cultivar G1812 contig647505, whole genome shotgun sequence.
UAAGUACUCCCUCCGUCCGAAAAUAUUUGUUCUAGAAAUAGUUGAAAAUGAAUAUAUCUAUAACUAAAAUAAAUCUAGAUAUAAUCAUUUUUAGGACAAGUAUUUCCGGAUGAAGGAAAUACCUU